rnacentral:lncRNA from 1 species
UACUGGAAUCCCCUCCCAGUUGGCUACCUUAAAAUGGCGGAAGCUAACAAUGGCAAUGACUAUGCUAUCUAUGAUGAGUCCUCUAUCUAUCUCUAUGACAACAGGCACAACUGCAAUAUAAAGUCGUUUCCCGAAAUGCCACGUAGGUCUACUUAUAUCAGUGCAUUCAACCUAACCAUUUCAACAUUUCUAUUCGAUCAAAUAAGCCUCAGGUAGCAAAUGAGCAAUUACAUUUUUGUUGACCAAAUUCGACUCUCUCGUUCACCUACAUACAAAAAUUCCUCACUUCGUGGGUUUAUUUCAUGGAAAGAUUUUAGGCGGAGUAAAACCUCUCGCUUCGCCUUUUCCUCUCUGUUCUAGCGCAGAGCUCGCUGUUUCUAGCAAGUGUAAACAAAAGGAAAUUGACAUCUUGCAGUCUUGCAUAUCUUGGAAAAGGCAAUCGGCGGAUUAAGCUUUUUACUUGUUGAGUAAAUCGCUAGCUACAUUUAUAUAGUAGUGUGUUAUUUGAGUAUUCAAUUUUGUGUAUAUCCUCGCGCCUUUUAAUUUGAGCUUCAGAUUGAGCAGAAGAAGUGGAAGUCAAAACAUGGUGGAGACACGCACAGAGUCCUUGGAUGACAGCUCCGAUGAUGAACCCCUAAUUGCAUUAGUAAAGAAGAAGCCGCAGCACAUUGAACACAAUGGGACUCCGGGUGAAAAAGACCAAAACCGACAACCUGAACCUGAGUCAAAGAAUAGCACAAGAAAAGAUUCUGGGUUGGAUGACACCUCAGAUGAUGAGCCUUUGACGAAGUUGGUGAAUAAACUUCCCAGCGCUAAAAAAUCCACUGUACAAGCAAAGAGGCCAGGGAAUACUAAUAGCAAAAGAGGAACAGGUAAUGGCAUCAAGAAGACAAACAACAAAUUCACAGGUUCAACCCAGAAUGAGGAUUCCUAUGACAGCUCAGACGAUGAGCCCUUGAUAAAGAUGGUUAAAAAGAUCCCUAAACAGACAUCAUUGCCAUUCAAAAAGAGACCCUUCAACACAGCCAGAGAGGUGAACGAUGUGAAGAAGCGCAGAAAUAUCUCACAGAAUAAAAUAAGCACAGACUCAUCAUCAAGUGACAGCUCAGAUGACAUGCCCCUGACUAAGAUGGUCGACAAACUCAAGACACAAAUGCGAACGAAGACACCCACCACUACAGUCAGAAAAACACCUGGCAUUAAAAAGCCCAGGAAAGUUUUAAAAAAACACAACAGGAGUAUAGAGACCUCAGAUGACAGCUCUGAUGAUGAGCCAUUAAUAAAUCUGACCAAGAAGUCUCCAUCUAAAGAGACUGAAAGGACAAUGCUGAAGAAGUGUGUCGCUAAGGAAUCAAACAGCAACAACUGUAAUAAAAUUAAAGGGAAAAUAAGCAGAGAGGAAGAGGUGAGUUCUGAUGACGAGCCCUUGAUAAAUCUAGUCAAGAAGCCUCUUAAAGCUGUAAAGAAGACCACGACACCAUUAAAGAAGAGGAGCGUAUCAGGAAAGACUGUGGUAGCCAGAAAGAAGACGAGACCAGACAUUGUGAACAAAGCAGUCAUCAGACGGAGCACCAAAGUUGUUCAAAGCACACGUGAAGGGUCUUUGGAUGACAGCUCAGACGAUGGGCCCUUGAGUAAAAAGAUGGUGAGAAAUCCACCAAUGAAGAGCCUAAUGCUGAUUCUGGAGAGAUGUGACACUAAAGAAGUCUUGGAAGAUAACUAUAGAGCCAACGUGGGAAACACCAGUAAAAGAAGUGCAGAUACGCCUACCUCCUGGAGGGUGUUCUUGAUCUGGACAACUGUUGUGAAGGGGUUUUUCUUCACCAGGGAAAGAAUUCUUCUGUCAUCUACCACAGUUGUUUUCCGUGGUCUUCCGGGCUUUUUGGUGUUCCGGAGCUCACCAGUGUGUUCUUACUUUUUAAGAAUGUACCAAAUAGUUGAUUUGGCCACAACUAAUGUUUUAGCUAUCGCUCUGAUGGGUUUGUUUAGAUUGUUCAGCCUAAUGAUGGCUUGCUUCACUGGCAGUGACAGCUCUUUGGACUUCAUAUUGAGGGUUAACAGCAACAGAUUCCAAAUGCAAAUGCCACACUUGAAAUCAUCUCUAGACCUUUUAUCUGCUUACUUGUAAAUGAACUAAUGAGGGAAUAACACACCUGACCAUGGAACAGCUGAGCAGACAGUUGUCCAAUUACUUUUGGUCCCUUAAAAAGGGGGGGCACAUAUAAAAAGUGCUUUAAUUCCUACACCAUCCACCCAAUUGACAUGUAAAUACUGUAA